CUACGGGGGGUGCAAGCGUUGUUCGGAUUUAUUGGGCGUAAAGCGCGUGUAGGCGGUUUUAUAAGUCUGAUGUGAAAGCCCUGGGCUCAACCCGGGAAGUGCAUUGGAUACUGUAAGACUUGAAUACGGGAGAGGGCAGUGGAAUUCCUAGUGUAGGAGUGAAAUCCGUAGAUAUUAGGAGGAACACCGGUGGCGAAGGCGGCUGCCUGGACCGAUAUGGACGCUGAGACGCGAAAGCGUGGGUAGCAAACAGAAUUAGAUACCCUGGUAGUCCACGCCGUAAACGAUGAGAACUAGGUGUUGCGGGUAUUGACCCCUGCAGCGCCGUAGCUAACGCAUUAAGUUCUCCGCCUGGGAAGUACGGUCGCAAGACUAAAACUCAAAUGAAUUGACGGGG
rnacentral:rRNA from 1 species